rnacentral:rRNA from 1 species
UACGGUAGGGGCAAGCGUUAUCCGGAUUUACUGGGUGUAAAGGGAGCGUAGACGGCAGGGCAAGUUCUGGAGUGGAAAGCCCCGGGGCCCAACCCCGGGACUGCUUUGGAAACUGCCAUGCUAGAGGUGCUGGAGAGGUAAGCGGAAUCCUAGUGUAGCGGUGAAAUGCGUAGAUAUUAGGAGGAACACCAGUGGCGAAGGCGGCUUACUGGACAGUAACUGACGAUUGAGGCUCGGAAAGCGUGGGGAG